rnacentral:rRNA from 1 species
UACGUAGGGUGCGAGCGUUAAUCGGAAUUACUGGGCGUAAAGCGUGCGCAGGCGGUUCGUUAAGUCAGCUGUGAAAUCCCCGGGCUCAACCUGGGAACUGCAUUUGUGACUGCAUCGCUGGAGUGCGGCAGAGGGGGAUGGAAUUCCGCGUGUAGCAGUGAAAUGCGUAGAUAUGCGGAGGAACACCGAUGGCGAAGGCAAUCCCCUGGGCCUGCACUGACGCUCAUGCACGAAAGCGUGGGGAGCAAACAGG